rnacentral:sRNA from 1 species
UGCGUGACAUGUGCCUCCCUCACAAACCUUGUUACGACAUCGGCACAUUACCUGUCUGACGUG